rnacentral:rRNA from 1 species
AACGAACGCUGGCGGCAGGCUUAACACAUGCAAGUCGAACGCCCCGCAAGGGGAGUGGCAGACGGGUGAGUAACGCGUGGGAACAUACCCUUUUCUACGGAAUAGCUCUGGGAAACUGGAAUUAAUACCGUAUACGCCCUACGGGGGAAAGAUUUAUCGGGGAAGGAUUGGCCCGCGUUGGAUUAGCUAGUUGGUGGGGUAAAGGCCUACCAAGGUGACGAUCCAUAGCUGGUCUGAGAGGAUGAUCAGCCACAUUGGGACUGAGACGCGGCCCAAACUCCUACGGGAGGCAGCAGUGGGGAAUAUUGGACAAUGGGCGCAAGCCUGAUCCAGCCAUGCCGCGUGAGUGAUGAAGGCCUUAGGGUUGUAAAGCUCUUUCACCGAUGAAGAUAAUGACGGUAGUCGGAGAAGAAGCCCCGGCUAACUUCGUG